rnacentral:lncRNA from 1 species
GAAACUGAAUUUCUUCCUUCACCAACAAAUGAAAAGUAACAACGAGAUUUUUAUAAGAUUCAAUAUUAAUCAUAAAAUGCAAAAUAUAAAAUAAGAAUCAUACAAAACAACUAACAAAACUUUUUUCUGCAAGUUAAAAAAAUAUAUCGAUUAUAAGUAAGAUUCUCAGUCAACGGAAUAGCUAAGCUUCAGUUAUUUAGUUGACCAUAUAUGUAAGGAUUAGUUUUAUUUAAAAUGCAGUAAAUCAGAUAUAGUUAUUGAAAAUAUUCCAACUACUAAUCCUUUCUUAAUCUUAAACCAACCAAGAAACGUUCAUUAACUAACUUUCGCUGAACAAACACUCUUGAGCACUUUCUCAGGAUUUAAUCUAUCAACGGCCUUGGGAAUUAGAAGAACCUGAUUCAGGCUGUCGAAUUCAUCUGCGUGAACCAGUUAGAUAGAUUACUUACCUCUUCAGUGUGACACUGAUCGCCACUGGUUACUAAUAUUGCUUAAAAAGUACGAAUUUGAAUGGUUCAGCUAGCUGCUUGCUGUUUUGUCUCGCGUCCAACGAGCCUUGUUCAAACUGAUUCAAAGACAACAAAUAUAUAUAUAUAUAUAUAGAUAUACAGAAAGUAAAUAAAUACCAUAAUUGAAAUAAAACUUAGAUUAACUCAAUUUGAUCUCACAAUACCUCAAUGGAGUUUGCUAAAUUUGUUAACUAGGAAGAGGAAAUAAAUCAGCUACAUAUGGUGGGCUUCAAUACAAAAUAAGUUUCUUAAGUUUUGAAAAGGUGAAAGAGAAGAAGAUGAAGGGCAGAAGCCAUAUAUGCUGUUACGUGCGAAGUUAGGAAGAAAAUGGAUGACGUUGAUUCCAUUUUGCAGCCUGCCUUUUGUACCCCAAAAAGGCUAGGGUUUCUUCUUUCUUUGAUUAAGAUAUUUCCUAAUGAUUUUGGCUCACUUUUGGCUUUCUAAAAUAAUCUUUUCUUAAUUUUUGGUUCUCAGAUCUCGGCUGGAAUGAGAUUUUUUCAUAUUCAAAAAAUGCAAAUUUUUCUUCAAGUUGGCUGCUGUGUGGACACAAGCCUUGGCCAAGGCUUAUUUCAGUUAUCCAGGGGGUUUGUGAGCUUAUAUGCUGCCUUAAACUUGCUCGAGGCUUGCUUGUCUGGGAGUAAAACCUAUUGAUAUCUGCUAGAUCCAAGCCUUGCUUGAGGCUUAUUUAUAGUAUAAUGACUUGUUUCACAAACUCUUCUUUUUUUUAUGAUGUUUUUCCUUAUCUCAUCCUUAUCUUCUAUCAUGCAACAAAAUAUAGAAAAUAGUUUGGAUUAAAUAGCACUUUAUCAAAUUGAUAACUCAAAAGUGGAAAAUAAGGAUGUUGUUUUUAUGCACUAUCAAAUUCUCCCACACUUAUCUUGUGUUUGCCCUCAAGCACAACACAAUACAAAUAUCUAACUCUCCCCCUUCUCUUUCAACUCAUCUAUUCCCAAUUAUUCCAUCACAACUCACCUAUUACCUCUUAAUUCUCAAGUUGUAAAAAUGACAAUCAACUAGUAGUUUGUAGGUUUGAGUUUCAUAUAAUUAUACAAUGAAUAGCCACUUUGAAUAAUAUCCAAACACGACAUGAAAAAGUUUUACAAAUUUUAGCACACAAAAUUUCAUUGAAAGGAAUAACUAACACCCAGUAGAAUAGCCACCAAACCUACCUAGAUAUAGUAAUUUCAUGCAUUUGGUUCAUGCUAAAAAAACAAAAAAAAAUCGAUUUGUAGCUAACUUGAGCACUUUUAUUACUUGCUUAAAAUGUCACUACCCUUUUAAUACGAUGGCAAAUAUUUGUGAUGAAUGCACCUAUUUACUUAAUUGGUCACAGAUUCAAGUGGUUACUAGUGCUACUCAUAGUCAUUUAACUUAAAAUAUUACUAACAUUUUGACAUGAGGAAAAACAUUUGUGAUGAAUGCACCUAGUUACUCAGUUGGCCACAAUUUCAUUUGACUAGAGGAGUAAAUCAUUAUUUGUGCUCCCCUUUUUUUCAUAUUUUCUAAUCUUAGACAUGAACCAUAAUUUUAGACACAAAAAUCCAAGCAAGUUAUAAUAGAGUUCUUCUUAAGCAUUUGUAUUCACUCAAAAAUAAGAAAAAAUCAACUUUUAAAGGCAAUCCACAAACAGGUCAUGUUUAAGACAAAUAAUAAAAAAUAAUUAUUCAUAAUGUUGAAAGAUAAAAAGCAAGCUAAAAAUUCAUAGAGGAUGGUUGUAGUUACCAUUCACUUUUUGGAAUAUCAAAAUUGGAUUAUUUUAUGAAUAACUGAGAUAGUUGUGCAAUAGUUUGGGCAAGAGUUGUUGAAAGUGUAAUUGUGGUGUGCAUUGGCCAAGGUUAAAGUGUAAUUGUGGUGUGCCUUGGGCAAGGUUAAAGUGUGCAUCAGCGAGUGUCAUAAAAAAAAUUUAAACAUAGCAUAAGCAAUGCAACAAAAUCUCAAAGAAAACCUAAAAAGUAGCAUGUUCCGUCCCCAUAUUUAAAUUACACAUUGUCGCCAAUGUGAUGCAAAUCAAGUAAGAUAUAAAGAAGAAAAUAGGAAUAUAUAACAUAAUAGAAAUAAUAAUAAAAUGAAAAGUAAAAAGAGAGAAAAAGGGAUAGAAGACUCCCCUGGGAUUCAUUUGGUGCAGAGACGUGUUGAUGCGCACCUGGAUUGAGUUAUCAACUAUGUCAGGGCCUUAACUUUCUCAUUCAAUUUAUGUAAAUAUUGCUUGAUGGAGUGUAGGUUGCCAUCAAUCACUCAUAUGUGCAGCAGGGUGUGGUCCAUGAAUGUUAGGCAUUUUCUCUGCUUGCUGUAUACUCUUGUGUCUCGGGGCACCAACAACCUAGGUGGUGCAAAGCAGGGGAAGCCAUCGUUUACUUCCAAGAUGCCCAUGUCGUCUAAGGAUCGAAGAUUUAAAGGUGUUUGUGGCUAUGCAAGGUGCAUGUAUGUUUUAUCUAUGUCAACAUGGGUGGGGAAGAUAACAAUUCUAUUGAUAAUCAAGCCCAAGUUUAACAGUCGCUAGAAUGAGAGGACGUUGGUGAAUUAUGAGGCGAACCAGUAUCCCAAGUUCACCCGACGUCACUGUAACAUGCACCAUAGAAAAUAUACUUCGGUUUUAGAUACAAUGUUUGGUGCAUACAUGCAACCCAAAAAGGAAUACAGGAACUGAUGAAUGUACUUUAUGUAAGGGUCGUGGAGGUAGAGGUCCUUGAACUUGCUGGGGUCAUAUGAAGUAGGGGGGUCUUCACAGAGUUUGUCGUAGAUGGUGACAGACUCGAAAUCAUCAUAGAAAUCACAAUAUGGGUGUUCAGCCACCCCCUCAGAAAAUCCCGAGGCAUCAUUGAACUGCGUGAUGAAAAAAUGGAAACGUUUGCCCUGCAGAUAGUAGGAAAUGUUAUUUGGGGUGUGGAGGUUGAAAUGAGUGGGUUUGUGAAAUUGGAAGGUUUUGUAGAAUUUCUUAGCUAGUUCUACGCAGGCUGGUAUGCCAACGAUAAAAAAGUUUUCCCAAUUGAUGACACAUCAGUUUCAGGACACCAGUUUUGAUGUAAAGGGUUUCGAGAGCGGGAUCGUGAACAGACUUACUUAGUAUAAUCAAAAGCUAUAAAUUUCUUCAUAUCUCUCUUUUUCCAGGUCAUCCUCAAAGACAAGAUGCCCCUGGAGUUCAAAUUCAGUGGCCUGGUGGAUGGGUUGCCUUUUCUAGACUCGAGCUCGCUUAUUUAACCUUCCGGAAGUCUCAUCUUCUUUGGUUGCGUCAAUGGCAGUGGGUGGUGGUUGAUUUGCAUGUUCGAUUUUUUGACUAGGUCCAGCUUUGUGAGUGGUGGUUUUCUACGAAAGAGAGUCAUAAAUGCCAAUAACGAGGCUGCCAGGUGCUGAGGAGGCCGUGGUGGAGCUACUCACUCCAGUUGGUGAAGGUCGCUCUUUGUCGGGAACUUGCAGUGCGAAAGUCGUCGGUGUUUCUUGUGUCGUCGCCUCAGUGGUGUGACAACUUAUGAAGGGUCGAAGGCCACUAGUUUUUCAUGCAGAUCUCUUAUACCUCAUUUUUUUGGUGGUAGAACGGUUAGGGAUUAGGGAUGGUUAGACCUAGUGUAAUGGAGGAGAAAGAGGGAAGUUGGAAAGUGGAGAGGAGAGGUUGGCAGUGAAGGUGGGAAGUAAGGUUAGGGUUUUUCAUUGUUGAGGUUUGAUUUUCAAAAUAAGCAGAAGGUGUCAGUAGCCUAGGGCAAGGGUUGGGCGUAUUAGAAGAAUUUGUUUUUUGUUUACUUUCAUACACUUUGGGCAAGAACUUUAGAUGUGAGAGGACCUAGUCGGUUUAUGGGUUAUAAAUCAUAAACCUUGGGCAAGACUUAUGCAAAUCUUGCUAUUGGAGGCUAAACCAAGAGAGGUUUAUUGGUUGAGUAGGGGGUAGGAUCGUAAACCUUGGGCAACACUUACAUGGUAACCGAAGGUGAUCCCUUCCUGGCUUCUUGUUUUAGCCUUGGGUAAGACUUGUGUGCAUCUGAGGUGUAAGACUUGGGAAAGGUUUUCUCAGAAUCAUCAGAUCAUUGUUAUGGCUUAGGUGCCCUUACAACCUUUAGGCAAGGGUUGUGAGAGGGUCUUGGGCAGAGUGUUGUAGGGUUGGCCAUAAGCCUUGGCCAAGGUUUUGUGUGGUUAUCCAGUAUUCAGUUUUUCUGACUCUGCCACCUGAAUUCCUUAUUCCUACUCUAUAAUCAUCAAAGAAACUCCGAUUAACUUAGAAAAAAAUACUAUAAAUUUAUUACUAGUGCGAAUGACUAAAGUUGAAAGAAAAAAAAAAAGUAAAAGUGGAUGGGUUGCCUCCUAUUGAGCGCCCUCAUUUAUUGUCCAAGGCCAGACUAUUCUUUGCUAGCUAUGAAGGUGUUUUCCUCAAGAGGGUCCAAAGUGACUUCUUUGUUGUGUGGAAAACCCCUCAUUAAAAAGUUUAAGCUGGUGUCUGUUCACCUUGAAAAUUUUAUACAUGUCUAGGCUUUCAAUCUCGAUAGCAUCGUGAGGGAAAGUGUUGUUGAUAAUGAACGAAUCUAACCAUCUUUAUUGCAACGUUUCAAAAAUCUUGAGCUAGGACGUUCUACUAUAUUAAGAAGAUUUUAUCAUACUUGUAGAAUACCAUUCAUUAAUUAACGACCAUUUACCACUAAACGAACAGGGCCUUAGUGCCGAUACCCACUUACCUUUUCUUUCAAAUCGGUUUCACACCUCCCUCCUCUUGUUUCCAACCUUCGUCAAAUAAAACCUUUUCCCGCUUCCAGUCUCCACCAAACUAAGCCUCCUCCACUUCAACCCAUCAAAAAGCAAACCAAAUGAGAGGGAAGAGAGCUUGCACCAGGCGCGCCCGAUCCAAAAAUAGAUGGUCACGAAUGACCGAUGGGGCUGAAGAAAAUCCACAACCGCCUCUAGAAAAAGCCGAAUCCACCUUGUGACAUGGAUGGCUCAAUAAUGGUCGACCAACACCGCAGUUCCGCAACCGACUUGCUCGGCUCUCUAACUCGAGCACAAGGCGAGUAAAACCCUGAGAUAAGUCGUGCAAGGGAAGAAUCAGAGUCACAACAGCCUCGAACGGACAGACGUACGAGCGAAAGCAUGGGGACCAUACGGGCACGAAAGAAAGCAAGAGUAAAAAAAGGUAAACACAUUCCCCCAC